GGUAUCCUGACCGUUCUAAGGUAGCAUAUAAUACGCCCUUUAAUUGUGGGCUAGUAUGAAUGGAUAAACGAGAGCAAAGCUGUCUCCUAAGCACUAACUGAAAUUACCCUUUAGGUGAAAAGGCCUAAAAAAUUAACAUUAAAAGACAAAAAGACCCUGUAGAGCUUAAUCAGUCAUCUCUAAAAAAAAAUUACUAUAAAUUAUCCUUUAUACAUGUUCUGAUUUAACUGGGGCGGUUAGGGAGCAAAACACCCUCCCUUCUUUUGUAAGGGCCCAAACCAACUUAUAUGAUCCUAAAUAGAUUACAGAAAUAAGCUACCUCAGGGAUAACAGGCUUAUAUCUUCUGAGAGCACCUAUCGAAGAAGAAUUUUGGCACCUCGAUGUUGGCUUAG
rnacentral:rRNA from 1 species